CUUUUAUAUGAUUGACUCAAAGUUUGCUGAGGAACAAGUCCAGGCAAGUCCUGGGCAAAGGCAGAGAAAUCUUUUGUCUUGAGGACACUGAUGGACAGGUCCUGGCUAAGGAUUGUGAAAUCCUCUAAGGAGCACAGAUGGACAAGGCCAGGGGCAACGAGAGAGAGAUAAGCUGCUGCUAAUGGCCGGGAAACGGUCUUUUUGUGUGGACUUAUCUCGAGGAAGAUGGCCAUCUCAGGAGGUAUGCACAGGACUCUUGCUCAAGCACCCAGGAAUGUCACGUAGGCAGCAGAAAAUGGAGGAUAAAAGAGGGUCCAACAACCACGGCGAUGUGGAGACUGAUCUCUACCACAAGGCUGAUCUCUCAUGAUCUCUCACCACGACACGAGCUUCCUGCCUUCAGAUCCUUCUCUACGGACCGUUUGCUGACGGACUUCCCUGGGCCUGCUACCUGAGACCUGCUGCUUCCUCCCUGACCUGCACCCUCUCGUUGCCCAAGACCGGCCCCGCUGCUCCUGCCCUUCGGCCUCGGACCGUCGGAACAUCGUGCAACGGGACUGCUGCCGGAUCCUGGUGGUGACUAUCCCCGCUUUACGCGAUUCUUGCCUCUUUCUAUCUUUUCUAUCGCUCGCCUUCCCUUCCCCAUCACCCCAAUCCUUAAUAGUGUCCGUCCUCCCCUUUCCCCAUCUCCCUUAUUAACAUUUGUAAUAAACUGGUCGGACCAACAUUUGAACCGCUGUUUCUUAAUCUCACGCUGGGCAUACAUAUUUCAAAGAACCUCCUCUCCCUCCUAUAAAUUGGAGUGAGACAAUGGUUUGUCUUUUUGUUGCUGUUG
rnacentral:lncRNA from 1 species